CCUACGGGAGGCAGCAGUGGGGAAUAUUGGGCAAUGGGCGCAAGCCUGAACCAGCAACGCCGCGUGAAGGAAGAAGGCUUUCGGGUUGUAAACUUCUUUUCUCCGGGACGAAGAUAGUGCCGGUACUUGACGUAUCAGCCGCGGCUAAAGACGUGCCAGCAGCCGCCGUAAUACGUAGGUGGCAAGCGUUAACCGGGUUUAGUGGGUGUAAGGGGCGUGUAGGCUGGAGGGCAAGUCAGAUGUGAAAACUCAGGGCUCAACCCUGGGCGUGCAUUUGAUACUGUGGUUCUUGAGUGCUGGAGAGGGAAUCGGAAUUCCGUGUGUAGCGGUGAAAUGCGUAGAUAUACGGAGGAACACCAGUGGCGAAGGUGGAUUGCUGGACAGUAACUGACGCUGAGGCGCGAAAGCGUGGGGAGCAAACAGGAUUAGAUACCCGGGUAGUC
rnacentral:rRNA from 1 species